AUGAACGCUGGCGGCGUGCCUAAUACAUGCAAGUCGAGCGAACGGACGAGAAGCUUGCUUUUCUGAUGUUAGCGGCGGACGGGUGAGUAACACGUGGAUAACCUACCUAUAAGACUGGGAUAACUUCGGGAAACCGGAGCUAAUACCGGAUAAUAUUUUGAACCGCAUGGUUCAAAAGUGAAAGUCGGUCUUGCUGUCACUUAUAGAUGGAUCCGCGCUGCAUUAGCUAGUUGGUAAGGUAACGGCUUACCAAGGCAACGAUGCAUAGCCGACCUGAGAGGGUGAUCGGCCACACUGGAACUGAGACACGGUCCAGACUCCUACGGGAGGCAGCAGUAGGGAAUCUUCCGCAAUGGGCGAAAGCCUGACGGAGCAACGCCGCGUGAGUGAUGAAGGUCUUCGGAUCGUAAAACUCUGUUAUUAGGGAAGAACAUAUGUGUAAGUAACUGUGCACAUCUUGACGGUACCUAAUCAGAAAGCCACGGCUAACUACGU
rnacentral:rRNA from 1 species